rnacentral:rRNA from 1 species
AGAGUUUGAUCAUGGCUCAGGACGAACGCUGGCGGCGUGCCUAAUACAUGCAAGUCGAGCGGGGUAGCAAUACCCAGCGGCAGACGGGUGAGUAACACGUGGUCAACCUUCCCUAGCGUGGGGGAUAACUAGCCGAAAGGUUAGCUAAUACCGCAUAACAUCCACGAUCGGCAUCGAUUGUGGAUAAAAGGAGCAAUCCG